AUGGCAACAUUCCGUGGAAAAUGGGACAAAGAUACAAAAGAAGCUAAGUCAACACCAAGGAGGAACUCCUUACCAGAGGAUGUCAACUGGAAAGAUCUCCUUCGGGAAAUCCAAUCCAUAUCAAACAAACAAGACUUGCUUCAAAAGGAAAUACACGAAAUAGCUCGGAAACAAGACACGCAACACAAGAUAUUACAAGAGGACAUGGCUGAUCUCAAAAAAGAAAUUAAACAAGAAGUGAACAUGAUAAAAACGGAAGUUGUAAAAAACAUCCAAGAAAUCUCGGGACUAAAACUCCAGAACGACAAAAUGGAGAAAAUACAACUAAAAAUGCAAAGGAAAUUAGAGACACUAGAAGCUAAGAACAGCAGGAUAGAGAAGAUACAGGAUAAAUUAGAACAAAACACUACAGAUUUCCAACUAAGACUCAGGAACAUACAAGAAGAGCCAAAAGAAAAUAUUAAACAAAUUUCAGCUCAGAUAAUAGCCAAAAUUUUAAAUUGUACAGAACAGGACGCAUCUGAACAAAUAGAUACAGCCCACAGGAUAUACACAAAUUAUGCAAAAAAAAACAAAGUAGCUAGAGAUACGAUUGUCCAUUUUGUAAAAAAAAGCACAAGAGAAGAGGUCUUCCGAGGCUCCAAACGUCAACCAACGAUAUACAAAGAGAGUAAAAUCAUGGUGUACAAAGAAUUCCCGCAAUCCACAUUAAACAGCAGAAGGAAAUAUCUGUUCCUAACAGAUGAACUGAAACGGCUUCAAAUUAAAUUUAGAUGGGAAAGACAAGAAGGAUUGAUGCUAACAUAUAAAGAGGAGAGAGUCUGGAUAAAAAGCGAGGAGAAAGCUGACGCAUUCUACAGGAAAUUAAAAAAGGAUAUACUACAACAAAUCAAGCAGCAACCACCGAGCCUGGAAAAGAACCCAAGGCAGGCAAAGAAAAGAAGACAAGACUCUCCCAAAGAGAUACAGAUAGCCCUAUUCAAUGAAGAUACUGAAGAUAAUCCAGAGGAAGAUGUGAAGGAGGAAGAAGAAGGC
rnacentral:lncRNA from 1 species